rnacentral:ncRNA from 1 species
GGUCAUGAGUGCCAGCGUUUAGCCCCGGCUUGCUGGCCGGCAACCCUCCAACCGCGGUGGGGUGCCCCGGGUGAAAGACCAGGUUGAGUAGCCAAACCCGGCUACACGGCAAGCGCGGGUC